rnacentral:lncRNA from 1 species
GACAUAGUGGACAAUGAUUACAGGCACAUGAAUCAUUGAAGAGACAAUUAUUUUGUUGGUCACAGACACUUCAUCAGACCUAUUAUUCUGACUUUUCUCUACUUGUGUUUGUGAAAAUUCUGAACAUUCUACCAUGUGGAAAGUUUAUCCUACACCUGUAUAUUUAGUUGGACAUUUUGUUUUAUAUACUGAAGUACGUGGACAAUCUAUUCUACCUAUGUAUAUUUACUGCCACAUUUUGUUGUAUAUGCUCGAGUGUGCCCACAGAGAACUGKCUUUUUAUUAAUGUCACCUA